rnacentral:rRNA from 1 species
UACGUAGGGGGCAAGCGUUAAUCGGAAUUACUGGGCGUAAAGCGUGCGCAGGCGGCUGUGCAAGACAGAUGUGAAAUCCCCGGGCUCAACCUGGGAACUGCAUUUGUGACUGCAUGGCUAGAGUACGGUAGAGGGGGAUGGAAUUCCGCGUGUAGCAGUGAAAUGCGUAGAUAUGCGGAGGAACACCGAUGGCGAAGGCAAUCCCCUGGACCUGUACUGACGCUCAUGCACGAAAGCGUGGGGAGCAAACAGG